rnacentral:rRNA from 1 species
GAUGAACGCUGGCGGCGUGCCUAAUACAUGCAAGUCGAGCGAACAGAUGGGGAGCUUGCUCCUCUGACGUUAGCGGCGGACGGGUGAGUAACACGUGGAUAACCUACCCAUAAGACUGGGAUAACUUCGGGAAACCGGAGCUAAUACCGGAUAAUAUAUUGAACCGCAUGGUUCAAUAGUGAAAGACGGUUUUGCUGUCACUUAUAGAUGGAUCCGCGCCGCAUUAGCUAGUUGGUAAGGUAACGGCUUACCAAGGCAACGAUGCGUAGCCGACCUGAGAGGGUGAUCGGCCACACUGGAACUGAGACACGGUCCAGACUCCUACGGGAGGCAGCAGUAGGGAAUCUUCCGCAAUGGGCGAAAGCCUGACGGAGCAACGCCGCGUGAGUGAUGAAGGUCUUCGGAUCGUAAAACUCUGUUAUUAGGGAAGAACAAAUGUGUAAGUAACUAUGCACGUCUUGACGGUACCUAAUCAGAAAGCCACGGCUAACUACGUG